GUCGUGAGAUGUUGGGUUAAGUCCCGCAACGAGCGCAACCCUUGUCGUUAGUUGCCAGCGGUUCGGCCGGGCACUCUAACGAGACUGCCGGUGUUAAACCGGAGGAAGGUGGGGAUGACGUCAAGUCCUCAUGGCCCUUAUGCCCAGGGCUACACACGUGCUACAAUGACCGGUACAAAGGGUUGCUAACCCGCGAGGGUACGCUAAUCCCAAAAAACCGGCCUCAGUUCAGAUUGAAGUCUGCAACUCGACUUCAUGAAGUCGGAAUCGCUAGUAAUCCCUGAUCAGCAGGCAGGGGUGAAUACGUUCCCGGGCCUUGUACACACCGCCCGUCACACCAUGGGAGUCAGUUGCUCCAGAAAUGGCUGCGCUAACCCGCAAGGGGGGCAGGUCCUUAAGGAGUGACUGGUAACUGGGGUGAAGUCGUAACAAGGUAGCCGUAUCGGGAGGUGCGGCUGGAUCACCUCCUUUCUGGAGACUUGUCGAGCUCUUCGGAGCUUGACCAUCUCGGUCAAUGUCACGAUUGUCGGUAUGCGCGAACGGAGUCGCGCACGAACUUUGGGUUUGCUGUUCGGCUUUGAGGGCCCGACGCACCUUUGCAAUUCUGGAGGUGCGCGACUGAAGCACGACGACACAGGGGCCAGUAGCUCAGUUGGUUAGAGCACACGCUUGAUAAGCGUGGGGUCGAAAGUUCAAAUCUUUCCUGGCCCACUCUGGCUGGCUGGCUAGGGGCGUUAGCUCAGCUGGGAGAGCACCGGCUUUGCAAGCCGGGGGUCAAGGGUUCGAUCCCCUUACGCUCCACCAGCAGGCGACUAUUGACGAAGUGUGUGAAUCCAAAUAAGAUUCACGCCCUUCGUCGCGAGCCGCAGUAGCAGCUCGCACGACGAUCUCUGAAAACCGAAUAGCUGCCAAAGACGCGAAAGCGUGUCUUGAGUACAAGAGCAAUCAAGCGUCAAAGGACUAUGAACCGUUCUCAGCAAUGAGGAAGGUUCGACCUUGUAAACGGCGUAUCGUGACUGAGAAAGUAGCGAUGCACUCAACGUUUAGUUGACCGGGCUAGUGAUUGCCGGUUGGCGGAAGGUUGGUGGUCAAGCUACUAAGGGCGCGCGGUGAAUGCCUUGGCGUCAGGAGGCGAUGAAGGACGUGGUUAGCUGCGAAAAGCUUCGGGGAGUCGCAAGCAGGCGUCGAUCCGGAGAUGU
rnacentral:sRNA from 1 species